rnacentral:lncRNA from 10 species
GGAGAAAAAAUUAGUCAACAGAAAUCAUGUUACUCCAGAUCCUUAAGAAACUGACACCAAAAUGAGAUUAAGUGUGCAAAGAUUUUAUUAGGAGAAACACCUGUGUGCAAGAAAAUGGGGAAAAAGCUAGAGAAGGGUGAGAUUGCUGCUGAGAGAGAGAGAACAAAGCCUCAGUGACCCAUAAAAUAUCACAUUGUCUAAUGCAUAUAUAAUUGGAGCCCCAAAGAGAGAAGGAGAGUCAGAACAAACAUCUGAAAAACGAACGGCUGAAAUUUACCCAAAUUUGAGGAAAACUAUAAAUCCACAGAACCAAGAAGCACAAACCCCAAUCAAGAAGUAAUUGUGAAAAACCACACCAAACCCAUCAAUCAAACUGCUGAAAAACAAUGAAAAAGAGACAAGUUUAAAAGCAGCCAAAGAAAAAAGAUACAUUAUAUACAAUGGAACAAAGAUAAAAAUUGAAACAGAGGCAGGCAUGGUAGUGCAGGCAUGUAGUCCCAAAUAUGAGGCAGGAGAUUGCUUGAGUCCAGGAGUUCUGGGCUGUUGUGCACUAUGCCCAUCAGGUUUCUGCACUAAGUUCAGCAUCAGUAUGGUGACCUUCUGGCAAUGGGAGACUACUAGGUUGCCUAAGGAGGAACGAACUGGCCCAGGUUGGAAAUGAGCAGGUCAAAAUCCCAUGCUGAUCAGCAGUAGUAUUGCACCCCUGUGUAUCCUGACUGGAAGACACCUCCCAAUAGGGGCCGAUAGACACCUCAUACAGGAGAGUUCUGGCUGGCAUCUGGCAGGUGCCCCUCUGGGACAAAGCUUCCAAAGGAAAGAACAGGCAGCAAUCUUUGCUGUUCUGCAGCUUCCACUGGUGAUGCCCAGGCAAACAGGAUCUGAAGUGGACCUCCAGCAAAC